rnacentral:rRNA from 1 species
AGCAGUGGGGAAUUUUCCGCAAUGGGCGAAAGCCUGACGGAGCAAUGCCGCGUGGAGGUAGCGGCCCCUGGGUCAUUAACUUCUUUUCCCGGAGAAGAAAAAAUGACGGUAUCCGGGGAAUAAGCAUCGGCUAACUCUGUGCCAGCAGCCGCGGUAAGACAGAGGAUGCAAGCGUUAUCCGGAAUGAUUGGGCGUAAAGCGUCUGUAGGUGGCUUUUUAAGUUCGCUGUCAAAUCCCAGGGCUCAACCCUGGACAGGUGGUGAAAACUACUAAGCUAGAGUACGGUAGGGGCAGAGGGAAUUUCCGGUGGAGCGAUGAAAUGCGUAGAGAUCGGAAAGAACACCAACGGCGAAAGCACU